rnacentral:tRNA from 2 species
GGAGGGAUGCCGGAGUGGUCGAUCGGGGCGGUCUCGAAAACCGUUGUGUCUUCGGGCACCCAGGGUUCGAAUCCCUGUCCCUCCGCAA